rnacentral:tRNA from 1 species
UCUCUGGUGGUCCAGCGGCCAAGACUCUGCACUCCCAAUGCAGGGGCCCUGGGUUCAAUCCCCAGUCAGGGAA